UACGGAGGGAGCUAGCGUUGUUCGGAAUUACUGGGCGUAAAGCGCGCGUAGGCGGCUUUGUAAGUUAGAGGUGAAAGCCCGGGGCUCAACCCCGGAACUGCCUUUAAGACUGCAUCGCUUGAAUCCAGGAGAGGUGAGUGGAAUUCCGAGUGUAGAGGUGAAAUUCGUAGAUAUUCGGAGGAACACCAGUGGCGAAGGCGGCUCACUGGUCCAUUACUGACGCUGAGGUGCGAAAGCGUGGGGAGCAAACAGG
rnacentral:rRNA from 1 species